rnacentral:lncRNA from 1 species
AGGGUAUUUAAGUAUAUUAUGUAAUUUAAAUGUAAAUCACAAAGCCAAAGAACUAAAUAAGCAUUUCAAAGCAAAAUGAGGCAAAGCAUGUUAAUUCCUUAUACCUGAAGUCAGACUUUUUUCUGUUCCCUUGGGGAUUUCUCUCAGUACUAGGUAGAAUUUUCUUUUACAUUUUCUAGGACUCAUUUUACAUAAAGGAAAAACAAAAUAACGUCAUGAGUAAUUUUCAUGGAACUGUGUUCUAAAUCUCAUGCUAUGGUUCUAGUAAUGGCAUAUAGCAGUCUAAUAAUUCUUACCUUGCUUGUUAAUUUCUUACCUUACUCUUAAGUUUUUCAAUUGUUUUGAUGUAAAUGAUGGUCAGAUUCCUUGGGGGCAGGGAUUUGUUUCACUCACUGUUUUAUCCUGUGAGUUAGAACAGUGCCUGGUACAUACAUAGUAGGCAUUUACUGAGUGAAUGUAAAAUCUUAGUUGACAGACGUACUCAUCCAGCAUCCAUGGUACUUGUCAUCUGUUAAAGGGCUUGAAAAAGCAUCGUUGCAAUAAACCAUACUAAACCCCAAACUAACUGAAGUACACUAAAGAUAAGUUCUAGUGACUGUACCUCAAUCUUAACUGUUACUUCAGAAAUGUCCAAAAGCUUGUUACGUGAAAACAUGAAACUUUCACGUGGUUUUUGAGUAGGAAAGGCAAUCCCUUGUGAUGAUUUGAAACAUACCUUCUUUCAUAUCAUAUUCAUACUACUAUUACCACAGUAGUAGUUUAAAAGUAGUAACUUUUGAGGAGCUAACAUUUAGCUAGAUAAGAGUUGAUCUAAAGGCCCUAAUGGACAAAAAAAAUUCCUAUUUUAACUUCUGAGAAGGGGUGAAUAAUGGUGACAGGGCAUGCACUUCAGUGUUCUUGGAGCUAACAGGUGAGGUGAGAAGUGAGCAGAUUUUGCUCCAGUUACCUACACACUCCCCCCUAACCCUCCAAACAUUACUUGGUUUCUCUCUACCUGGCUUAAGUUCCUUAACUGCAGAUUUCCUGUGCUUUUUGAACUUGCUAUAUAAAAACUGCUCUUAUGAUUCAAUAUGAUCUCGUUCAAGGCCACCUCAUUGUUAGUGACUGGUAAUUGACUAUUAAUUUGAUGGUAAUUUGUCCUAGGUUUAAGGUUGAUGUUUGCAUUUCACGGGAACUGGCUAACCUCGCUCCAGUUUUCAUUCAGACUAUGAAAGUGGCUGCCUAAUCUCACAUCAGAUUCAAACUAAGCCAUUUCUUGAUGCCCUUCUUUUAUGCUGUUCCUUGGGGGUAUCUAAAUGUGGUAUUUAGAAAUAUCUUUUUUUUUUUUGGUCCUGCCUGCAAACUUUUUUGGUAGGUGUUGAUCUCUUGCCUACCUCUGCAACUAAACUGAAGACUUGUUCUGAAAGGUGAGUAAUAGGGGGAACAAGGUUUCUACUUUGUGUUUAUAAUUACCAGAUUUUCUCUUAUGUUCAUAUAUUGUUCUGAUGUAAAGAACAUCAAUUACAUAAAAGUAGACCUUUUGUAAAUAAAUAUAAUUUAUUAG